GACGAACGCUGGCGGCGUGCCUAAUACAUGCAAGUCGAACGCAGUGGGGACGGGUGAGUAGCACGUGGGUAACCUCCCAUCAGAGGGGAUAACACUUGGAAACAGGUGCUAAACCGAUAAUGUUGGAGGACACCGCGGUGCAGUAGCUAGUUGGUGGGGUAACGGCUCACCAAGGCCACGAUGCAUAGCCGACCUGAGCGGUCGAUCGGCCACACUGGGACUGAGACACGGCCCAGACUCCUACGGGAGGCAGCAGUAGGGAAUCUUCGGCAAUGGACGAAAGUCUGACCGAGCAACGCCGCGUGAGUGAAGAAGGUUUUCGGAUCGUAAAACUCUGUUGUUAGAGAAGCGGUAUCUAACCAGAAAGCCACGGCUAACUACGUGCCAGCAGCCGCGGUAAUUC
rnacentral:rRNA from 1 species